GAACUCGUGCUAAGGGCACUCUAGCACUAGUUUAAGCCCGCGAUUACACCUGUAAGUUUUACUCACUUUUUUGCAAAGGACAAUGCCCAUUCAAGUAUGAACAAAUGUACUGUCUUCAAGAUUUUUGUAUCACCAUCAAAUCAAAUUCUAUCUGUUCAAUGACAUCAUCAGAAUAUUUGUAGAAAAAAUGAACGCAAACGGUUUCCGCAUUUCAGAGAUAUUAACCAUAAAAAUGUCAAUAUUUUGAGGUUAGGUUCAGCUAGAAAGUCAAAAAAGGGUCUUUAUAUGCUUAACAAAAACAGUCAGUUUCAGAUUUUUUUCAACAAAAUAGUCGAGUGAUAGCAGAGAAUG